GACGUAGGGCGCGAGCGUUGUCCGGAUUUAUUGGGCGUAAAGAGCUCGUAGGCGGUUUGUCGCGUCGACUGUGAAAACCUACAGCUUAACUGUGGGCUUGCAGUCGAUACGGGCAGACUUGAGUUCGGUAGGGGAGACUGGAAUUCCUGGUGUAGCGGUGAAAUGCGCAGAUAUCGAGAGGAACACCUGCGGCGAAGGCGGGUUGCUGGGCUGACACUGACGCUGAUGCGCGAAAGCUAGGGGAGCGAACGGG
rnacentral:rRNA from 1 species